AGCAGCCGCGGUAAUUCCAGCUCCAAUAGCGUAUAUUAAAGUUGUUGCAGUUAAAAAGCUCGUAGUUGAAUUUCGGGAUCAAGUCGUCGGUCGUGCCUCGGUACGCACUGGUGACAUUGGUUUCUCCCUUCUGAAGAACCUUGAUGUCAUUAAUUUGGUGUCUUGGGGAAUCAGGACUGUUACUUUGAAAAAUUAGAGUGUUUAAAGCAGGCUCACGCUUGAAUACAUUAGCAUGGAAUAAUGAAAUAGGACGUUUGAUUCUAUUUUGUUGGUUUCUAGGAUCGACGUAAUGAUUAAUAGGGAUAGUUGGGGGCAUUAGUAUUCAAUUGUCAGAGGUGAAAUUCUUGGAUUUAUUGAAGACUAACUACUGCGAAAGCAUUUGCCAAGGAUGUUUUCAUUAACCAAGAACGAAAGUUAGGGGAUCGAAGACGAUCAGAUACCGUCGUAGUCUUAACCAUAAACUAUGCCGACUAGGGAUCGGAUGAUGUUAAUUUUUUAAUGACUCAUUCGGCGCCUUACG
rnacentral:rRNA from 1 species